UUAGUUGCUUUUCAUUGCAUUGACGGUAGUCUCUUUUUAAAUGUUUCUUCCUUUUUUACAAUCCAUCCUGUAAGUCAAUGAUAUGAAUAUUGGAAACAUCAAUAAUUAUUAAAAAUUUGUGAGCAAUGCUAGUUCCCUUUUUCACUGUGUUAGAGAAUUCAUUUAUCUUAAUGGUGUUGGUAGCAUUCAGAACAAUCUCAAUCAAUAGGCAGAAACUAAUUUCACAGCUCUGAUCCCUGCACAGCCAGAUUGUCUCAGCUGCAGUGACACCUAUCAAAACAGUGUGAGGUCCAAUCCUCAAUCAAAUGCUGUUUCGAUGAAAUCAAGCAGAGCACAACUUCCUCAUGCUGCCACUUCCAAAAAGAGCUACAGGAACAAGGACAUCUCUGAAAAAACCAGCUCUGUUGAUACCAGACUCGAUGUAAAUCACUGAACUUUAUCUCAGCCUUGGCGGUAUUGAAAAAAAACUGCUGUAAUUUCAUGGUUUGAUGUGAAAGUUGAUGACUCCAUUACCUCACUCAUGCUAAGUACGCAUCUUGAUGCUGCAAGGAACUGGACCACAGUAACUACCACAUGCAAAAUGCUCAAAUGCCUAUGAAACAGACUAUCUAAAAGAUAGUGUUACAGACAAAUAGAGACUAAAGUUUGCUUUAUUUUCCUAUAAAAAAUAGCUAAGUGCAAUCCUUGCAAAAUAGGUGAUAAUUCACAGUAUCUCUGCCAUUAUUUCAGCUACAGGACUCAAACACAGUUCAAUUGCUAAGGCUUUAGGUAUGCAAGAGAGCAGAAGUAUUUCCAGAACAUGGAAAAUGCAAAUAACUUCUACAAACAUAAGAUGUUUCAAAUUAAAUUUAACAAAUGUAGCUUCAUCAAGCACUUCCUUCCACUCCCAGAAGAGGACACUAGCUAAAUAUGUGGUGAUGGUCUACAGACUUGUCUCCUGAUUUUCCAAGUUCCCCUUCCCCAUCCAGAGAGCACAGACAGAUCAGCUCACAGAGUAAAGAGGUAAAAAUCGACGAAAUUUCUUCAGUUAAGUUGAUGUUCUGGCUUCCAACAUUAAAGGAGGUUCUUCAUACCUUCAAGGGCAUUGAGAUGGGGAUUCUGAUUUAUUUUAGCAGUGGCAGAGAGAGGCAGUAACAACAAAACAACAUUUAUUUGAAGAAGAAAGACUGAGCAGGAGCCUGCCAUCAGCAGCAAGUUUUUUAUCUCACUGUUCACCCUGGAGGAUCCAGACAGUGACUGAUAAAGCAGAGGCAGCCUGAAGGGGCUGAAGGAGCUUAGAGGAUGGCAGCGUCCACAGUCAGAGGAAGCUCCCCAUUUGGUCAGAGAUUUGGAAGAUAAACAGGGAGAGAAGGGAAGUCAGUCCAUCAGCUCGCUGAGAUGCAGGCAUGGCUCUCCAAUUAACGCUGUGUACACAGGCACAUUAUCCAGGAACAACAAGAACUAUUGUGUGUGUCUCAACCUCGUUAUUGUCUGGCACCUCCACCCUUUCCUCACCAGCAUGGAUGACAUGCCAUUCUUCACAGUGCCACCAUGCUGUGGAUGUUGAUAUAAUGUCCAGGUAGAAGGAAUAUGGACUGGGAGCUUUGCCUCUGAACUGAAAAUCAACCCAGCAAAGCAGUGAGACAGAACAAGAGCUGGCUUGGGUAUUUUCAAAAAGGGUCUUGCUUCUCCCAAGCAAGCAUGUUGUGGUAAACACCUCCCAUAUCCACAGGAAGUAAUUUCUGGUUUUAAUGAUAAAAUUAGUUGGAAAAACUCUUAAACAGACAUCCCUGUGAGCCCAAGGGGCCAGAGAAACACAAUGGACAUCAGAAGAAAGUGAUUCACCUGCCCUUUCCCAUUCCUCUUCUCUUAAAAAAGAACCCCAUUUUUGCAUCACUAUGAUCUCAAAAAUACCUUGUGCAGUUUAUCACAAGGUUCCAAAACUGUGGCCUGUCAUUUACAGUGAUGAUCUCAGGCAAGAUGAUAAUAACCAUGCUCUUAGCACCUUCUCUUGGUGAUGUCAGCAGAAACUUCUCUAGCAAGCAGUUUUAUGAGGAAAUGGUUACCUAGUUUCCAUAACAGUCCUCAAAACCUUUCACUGAAAUAUAAUAAGCAUAAAUGGCAAUCCAUCUGCCAAUACCAAAGAUGUUCCCAAGCUGAUCACAGGGACCAGUAUUUGGAAGUAGAUUGUCUUUUCAGGCUCUACUUCACAAUGACAAGGUUGUGAAGGAAAGGGGCAGUUAUCAGACAUGUACAGAAAAACAGACUGGAAAAAAUCAGUUCUACUUACAGAAGUAAAAUUAGGA